rnacentral:tRNA from 1 species
GCGGUUGUAGCGCAGUCUGGCAGCGCGUCACCCCGCCACGGUGAAGGCCGCCGGUUCGAAUCCGGCCAACCGCUCCG